AAGUUCGCAUCGGUAAAAGUCCCUUGUCCCGAUGGAAGACUUGGCUUCUUCAGUGAGCAUGCUCCAAUACUACACUACCAUUCAACCUAGUGUGAGCUGAAGCUGGGGAAUUUCGGGCUUUGUUUGAUGGUGUUGCUCCUCUUCCGAGGAAGAUACAUUUAGAGGAGACUCGAGAAGACAUGAAAGCUGCGGCCAAAUUGCAAUGGUAAUUGAUUAACAUUAAAUGUCCAAAGCGCAAUAUCAUCAGUAGUCAAUAAGAGUAAUUUGCUAUCAGCAUUAAUUCAUCCAUGACUAUGAGAUAUAUUAACUCUUGAAAAUGUUGAACUGGGUAGCAUUUUUUGUGACUUAUCAGUUUUGAAGGACAGCUAGAGACUAUUGAUUUUAAAUCGUCGACACAUGAUUUGCUUUAUACAAAUGAUGUUUGGGUGCAUU